GGGGAAGGUAGAAGGUGGGACUGUGCCCGACACCUGUUCCUGCGACCGGGCCCCCGCACCCUGCAAGGCCAGCUCUGGAGCAGAAGGAGGCCCGGUGCUAGCCGCCCUCCCCAAGGACCCAGCCCGCGCCAUCCGGCUUCCUCCAGUGGGCGCCUGCAGGACCCAGAAUCGAAGCGGCCCUUUGCGCGGGGCUCCGAGAGAGGCAUCGAAAUUGAACUCGUCCACACAGCCCCUGACUGCGUGGUGCCCUUUUCUGACUUAAAACAUUCCUUGCACCUUUGUUUGCACGCUCGAAGUUUCAGUGUGCCUAGAUUUUCCUCCAAGGACAAAAAUGUGAAUAAAGCAAUAUUUUAGUCAAACA